UCUUUGCAAUUUUUUUUUGAAGGAGAGAACAGUAUUUGCCACAGUCCUCAAGAAAGUCGAGAUGAAGACCAUGGUUUGAUGACAGAUAUUUUGCCAGUACUGCAAUCAAAACCAAAAUAUACAAGCACAAAAAAUAUCAAUGGGGAGAAAUGUGUGAAUGACUGCAAUGGAAUAAUCAAACAACAUGAACAAAAUGACAGUUUCAAAAAACAUGUGGAAGAGAAAGAUGAAUAUGAAUGUGAACAUUGUGGAGAGGAAUUCAAGCGAAAAAGCAAUUUGGAAGUACAUCUGAUGAUACAUAAAAACGAUUUGCCAUAUGAAUGCGAACAUUGUGGACAGAAAUUCAAGGACAAUGAUUACUUAAAAAGGCAUUUGAAGACACAUGUAGGGGAAAGACGAUACGAAGUUAAAGUAUUGCUUCUGAAAACACUUGAAUGUGAACAUUGUGGAACGAAAUUUAAUCACAGAGAACAUUUGAAAAGUCAUAUGGAGGUACAUAAACAAGAGAAACUUUAUGAAUGUGAACAUUGUGGAAAAAAAUUCAAUCAGAAAAGUAACAUGAAAUCGCACAUGACAGUACACACGAAGGAGACUCCAUACGAAUGUGAACAGUGUGGAAAGAAGUUUAGACAAAAGAUGAUUUUGAAAUGCCACAUGAGGAUACAUACUGGAGAGAUACAUUAUGAAUGUAAACAUUGUAGAGAGAAGUUUAACUGCAAAGAACAUUUGGAAAAUCAUAUGGUGGUACAUACAGGAGAGACACCUUAUUUAUGUGAACAUUGUGGAAAAAUAUUCAGUGAAAGGGAUAGUUUAGAAACACAUAUGAGGGAACACAAAGGUGAAACACCUCAUGAAUGUAAACAGUGUGGGUUGAAGUUUAGGACAAGUCGUACUUUGAAGCAUCAUAUGAGGGUACACACAGAAGAGACACCUUAUAAAUGUGGACUUUGCGGAAGUAAGUUUAAGUUUAAAAGUUAUUUGAAAUCACAUACUUGUACAGUAGGUAAAGAAGAGAUGCCUUAUGAAUGUGAACAUUGUGGAAAAAAGUUUGCUCACCGUAGUAAUUUCAGAAUGCAUUUAAGAAUACAUACGGCAGAGAAGCCUUUUGAAUGUGAGCAGUGUGGAAAAAGGUUUAGUCAAAAUAGUAAUUUGAAAGCACAUCUAAAGAUACAUACAAGGGAGACACCUUAUGAAUGUGAACAUUGCGGAAGGAAGUUUAGGUUAAAUGAUAAUUUAAAAACGCAUUUGAGGGUUCACAACAAGGAGACACCUUAUGAAUGUGAACAGUGUGGAAAGCAAUUUACGCAAAGUUGUAAUUUUAAAAGACAUUUGGAGAGGCAUAGAAAGAGAAUUCAGAAAAGUUUUGCAACAGCACACAUAGAUGAGACAUUUUAUGAAUGUGAACAUUGUGGAAAGAAGUUUAACCAAAAUGGUAGUUUAAAAAAGCAUUUAAGAAUUCAUACUGGGAAAACACCUUAUGAAUGUGAACAUUGUGGAAAGAAAUUUAAGCAAAGCUGUGAUUUGAAAACACAUUUGAAGGUCCAUAGUAAUUAUGAAUGUAAACAGUGUGGAUUGAAGUUUAGGACAAGUAGGAAUUUGAAAAAGCAUCUGAAGAUACAUACAGAAAAGAUUCGGUAUGAAUGUGAUUACUGUGGAAAAAUGUUUAAGGAUAAAUCAUAUUUGAAACUUCAUACAAAAACACACACAGGACAGGCACCUUAUAAAUGUGAACACUGUGGAAAAAUGUUCAGUCUACAUAAUAAUUUCCGGAUACAUUUAAGAACACACACGGGGGAGAAGCCUUAUGAAUGUGAACAUUGCGGAAAAAAGUUUAACCACAAUGGUAAUUUAAAAUUACAUUUGAGGGUUCACACCGGGGAGAAGCCUUAUGUAUGUGAACAUUGUGGAAGGAAGUUUAGGUUAAUUGCUCAAUUAAAAACGCAUUUGAGAAUUCACACGGGGGAAACACCUUAUGAAUGUGAACAUUGUGGAAAGAAAUUUAAGCAAAGUAGUAGUUUGAAAAAACAUUUGAAGACGCAUAGAAAUUACGAAUGUAUACCGUGUAGGUUGAAGUUUAGGACAAGUCGUAAGUUGGAAAAUCAUACAAUGCUACACUCAAAAAAGACAUCUUAUAAAUGUGAACAAUGUGGGAACAAGUUUAAGUUUAAAAGUUAUUUGAAAUCGCAUAUUUGUACAGUAGAUAAAGGAGGGAUGCCUUAUGAAUGUGAACACUGUGGACGGAAGUUUAAGUUUAAAAGUUAUUUGAAAAUUCAUUUAAGAAUCCAUGCUGGAAAGAAGCCUUGUGGAUGUGAAUAUUGUGGAAAGAAGUUUAUUUUAAAAAGUAGUUUAAAAAUUCAUUUGAGGAUUCACACAGGGGAGAAACCAUAUGAAUGUGAACAUUGCGGAAAGAAAUUUAAUCAAAGUGGUAAUUUGAAAACACAUUUGAAGAAGCAUCAUGGAAAGUGAGACCUGUGAAUAUUGUGGAAAGAAAUUUAAAGUGCUGUAACUGGGAAAUUUAAAUAUACAUUUGUGGAUACAUGAAAGAGUAUGUUGUUGAAGAGAACCCGAAAGUUGAAAAAUCAAUGCCAAUAUUACGUAGAUUUUAAGAAUUAUCAAUACAUGUUACCUCAAAUUCCGGGGAUUAUGAUUCAUAUGCAGAAAAAAGAAACCAGGAUAAACUUUCCUAACAGUAAAUACGAUGAGAUCAUGAAAGUGAUCAGUAAUUCGAAUGAGCAUGUGAUGGCAGUGGCGGCCAACUUCAGCACUGAAGCUGACUCUCACUUGGUGUGCAUCCAUAAUGAUAUGGCAAACUAUCAAACGCAAGCCAUCAACAUCCAAAACAAACCGAGGCAAGUUACUGGAGCUAGCUUUGUGGUUUUCAAUGGAGCACUGAAGGCAAGCACAGGCUUAAUAGCCAAAUCCAGCAUAGUGGAAGAUGGAGUGAUGGUGCAUAUUCAGCCCGAUAUGAUGGCCGCGUUCCGACAAAGCCUGAGGGAGAUGAAGGACUUUAGGAUACCGUGUGGACCU